GUUCGGUGACGAGCAAACAGACAAGCAUAUGGCUGAGCCUCCCUGAUGCCAGCUUUCCUGCUGAGAAC
rnacentral:snoRNA from 1 species